AUUGAACGCUGGCGGCAGGCCUAACACAUGCAAGUCGAGCGGAUGAAGGGAGCUUGCUCCUGGAUUCAGCGGCGGACGGGUGAGUAAUGCCUAGGAAUCUGCCUGGUAGUGGGGGAUAACGUCCGGAAACGGGCGCUAAUACCGCAUACGUCCUGAGGGAGAAAGUGGGGGAUCUUCGGACCUCACGCUAUCAGAUGAGCCUAGGUCGGAUUAGCUAGUUGGUGGGGUAAAGGCCUACCAAGGCGACGAUCCGUAACUGGUCUGAGUGGAUGAUCAGUCAAACUGGAACUGAGACACGGUCCAGACUCCUACGGGAGGCAGCAGUGGGGAAUAUUGGACAAUGGGCGAAAGCCUGAUCCAGCCAUGCCGCGUGUGUGAAGAAGGUCUUCGGAUUGUAAAGCACUUUAAGUUGGGAGGAAGGGCAGUAAGUUAAUACCUUGCUGUUUUGACGUUACCAACAGAAUAAGCACCGGCUAACUUCGUG
rnacentral:rRNA from 1 species